rnacentral:rRNA from 1 species
UACGGAAGGGGCAAGCGUUGUUCGGAAUCAUUGGGCGUAAAGCGCGUGUAGGCGGCCAGGUAGGUCCGAUGUGAAAUCUGGAGGCUCAACCUCCAGCGGUCAUUGGAAACCAUCUGGCUAGAGUCCGGAAGAGGAGAGUGGAAUUCCUGGUGUAGCGGUGAAAUGCGCAGAUAUCAGGAAGAACACCGAUGGCGAAGGCAGCUCUCUGGGACGGUACUGACGCUGAGACGCGAAAAGCGUGGGGGAGCGAACAGG